rnacentral:rRNA from 1 species
AACGAACGCUGGCGGCAGGCCUAACACAUGCAAGUCGAGCGAGGACUUCGGUUCUAGCGGCGGACGGGUGAGUAACGCGUGGGAAUGUGCCCUUCUCUACGGAAUAGCCCUGGGAAACUGGGAGUAAUACCGUAUACGCCCUAUUGGGGAAAGAUUUAUCGGAGAAGGAUCAGCCCGCGUUGGAUUAGGUAGUUGGUGGGGUAAUGGCCUACCAAGCCGACGAUCCAUAGCUGGUUUGAGAGGAUGAUCAGCCACACUGGGACUGAGACACGGCCCAGACUCCUACGGGAGGCAGCAGUGGGGAAUCUUAGACAAUGGGGGCAACCCUGAUCUAGCCAUGCCGCGUGAGUGAUGAAGGCCUUAGGGUUGUAAAGCUCUUUCAGCUGGGAAGGUAAUGACGGUACCAGCAGAAGAAGCCCCGGCUAACUCCGUG